GACGAACGCUGGCGGCGUGCUUAACACAUGCAAGUCGAACGCUGAAGCUCAGCUUUUGUUGGGUGGAUGAGUGGCGAACGGGUGAGUAACACGUGAGUAACCUGCCUCCUUCUUUGGGAUAACGCCCGGAAACGGGUGCUAAUACUGGAUAUUCACUGGUCUUCGCAUGGGGGUUGGUGGAAAGGGUUUUUCUGGUGGGGGAUGGGCUCGCGGCCUAUCAGCUUGUUGGUGGGGUGAUGGCCUACCAAGGCUUUGACGGGUAGCCGGCCUGAGAGGGUGACCGGUCACAUUGGGACUGAGAUACGGCCCAGACUCCUACGGGAGGCAGCAGCGGGGAAUAUUGCACAAUGGGCGCAAGCCUGAUGCAGCGACGCCGCGUGAGGGAUGGAGGCCUUCGGGUUGUGAACCUCUUUCGCUCAUGGUCAAGCCGCAACAAUGGUUGUGGUGAGGGUAGUGGGUAAAGAAGCGCCGGCUAACUACGUG
rnacentral:rRNA from 1 species